rnacentral:rRNA from 1 species
GACAGAGGAGCCAAGCGUUGUCCGGACUGACUGGGCGUAAAGCGCACGCAGGCGGCGCUGCGCGUGGGGUGUGAAAGCUCUUGGCUUAACUGAGAGAGGCCAUCCCAUACGGCAGUGCUCGAGCGGUGCAGAGGUCCGCGGAAUUGCCGGUGUAGUGGUGAAAUGCGUAGAUAUCGGGAGGAACACCAGAGGCGAAGGCGGCUUUCUGGCCUGUAACUGACGCUGAGGCGCGAAGGCUGGGGUAGCGAACAGG